GUAAUGUAUUGUUUACUGUUUUUGCUCACUGCUCCCCCAGAAAGAUGUGGAGAUUUCGGAUGUGAAAUCCAGUGUCCUGCAGCUGAAGGAGGGUCUGGAGUCACUGCCAGUUCAGCUCAGUGACAACUACCUGAAACUGUGUGAAGAAUUACGCUCCCUGAAGCUCCCCAGUGCCUUAGCUGAGCUGCAGACCUUCAUAACCAGUGCCAAAGUCCCCCCCAGGACGGUGGAUAACUCCUCCCAGACCUCGCCUGGCAGAUGCCAGGACUGUGCCCCACAUCAGCAGAAAGCACACUGGCUGUGCUACCAUGGUAUGGGGGGCUGCAGCUCCUUGGGUCUGUCUGCUGCGGGGAAGCAGCACGGAGUCACUGGGGACGUGACACCUCGGGGCGGCCUCAAUACACCUUCUGAAAGCAAAGCCAGCCCCGUUGCUACAGCUGUGUAUGGCGGGGAGGUGGAAUCUGCUUUGGUAGCACAGAGCUGCUCUCACCAUCCGUGUGCAUGCAGUGCUAACAGCCAGUUUCUGGGGGAUGGUCGGAAGAAGCACAUUCCCAUACUGCAGGGACUGGAGAUAUCCCCAGUCACUCCUCUGAGGAAGGCAAUCCGCAGAGGUACCGGAGGAUUUAAACCCGUGACACCAUUGCAACAGAGGCAGCCUCAAGCGUGCCAUCUCUUUGUGCAAAGCAACAUGUCUGGGCAAAGAGAUGGGAGCUCGUCCACAGACCAGGAGCUGGAGAACAUAGCCAUAGGGAACAAGGCAAAGCUGAAGCUGGGAAGGAUCCCCUGGAAUAAAGUAAUGGAGAGGAAGAAAACAUACGCUGGCAAGAGAAAAGGGGAGCUCGCCAGAUGUAGUUCUUUGGCUCAGCGUCAUCCCAGCUGUGCAGAUGUUGAGUGAGAAGGGACCACCUCACCACCAGCCUGGGAUAAAUGGCAGCUUGAGCCCUCGGCAGCUCCAGGAGCAAACAGAGCAGAUCUUGCUGGGUCACCAGCCAUGGAUCUGUUUCCACAGCUUCAAAUAUUUUUGCCCUUUUGAUCUUUGAUCUGAGCUGCAGCUGGUGAAAGAAGCGUUUCAAUAUUGACACAAGCGGUCUAUUGCCAGGAACCCACAAGGCGCAGUGCUCUCAUCCUGCAGGGGAAGGCUGGGAUCGUUUGUCCGGCUUUAAUAAACCCG
rnacentral:lncRNA from 1 species